rnacentral:tRNA from 6 species
GCGGGAGUGGCUCAGUGGUAGAGCAUCUCCUUGCCAAGGAGAAAGUCGCGGGUUCGAUCCCCGUCUCCCGCUCCC